rnacentral:rRNA from 1 species
CAAUAGCGUAUAUUAAAGUUGUUGCGGUUAAAAAGCUCGUAGUUGGAUUUCUGCCGAGGACGACCGGUCCGCCCUCUGGGUGUGUAUCUGGUUUGGCCUGGGCAUCUUCUUGGAGAACGUAGCUGCACUUGACUGUGUGGUGCGGUAUCCAGGACUUUUACUUUGAGGAAAUUAGAGUGUUUCAAGCAGGCCUACGCCUUGAAUACAUUAGCAUGGAAUAAUAAGAUAGGACCUCGGUUCUAUUUUGUUGGUUUCUAGAGCUGAGGUAAUGAUUAAUAGGGAUAGUUGGGGGCAUUCGUAUUUAACUGUCGGAGGUGAAAUUCUUGGAUUUGUUAAAGACGGACUACUGCGAAAGCAUUUGCCAAGGAUGUUUUCAUUGA